rnacentral:rRNA from 1 species
AGUGUAGGCGGUUUGAUAAGUCUUCUGUGAAAUCUACGGGCUUAGCCUGUAACGUGCAGAGGAAACUGUCAGGCUUGAGUGUCGGAGAGGAUAGGGGAAUUCCCGGUGUAGAGGUGAAAUUCGUAGAGAUCGGGAGGAACACCAGUGGCGAAGGCGCCUAUCUGGCUGACAACUGACGCUGAGACUCGAAAGCAUGGGGAGCAAACAGGAUUAGAUACCCUGGUAGUCCAUGCCGUAAACGAUGAUAGCUAGAUGUGUGAGGUAUUGACCCCUUACGUGUCGAAGUCAACACGAUAAGCUAUCCGCCUGGGGAGUACGGUCGCAAGAUUAAA